AUCAUGCGGUCCAAAGUUAACUGG
rnacentral:siRNA from 1 species